rnacentral:rRNA from 1 species
CCUACGGGUGGCAGCAGUGAGGAAUAUUGGUCAAUGGCCGCAAGCCUGAACCAGCCAAGUCGCGUGAGGGAUGAAUGUCCUAUGGAUCGUAAACCUCUUUUAUAAGGGAAUAAUGUGUGCUACGUGUACCAUUUUGUCUGUACCUUAUGAAUAAGGAUCGGCUAACUCCGUGCCAGCAGCCGCGGUAAUACGGAGGAUGCGAGCGUUAUCCGGAUUUAUUGGGUUUAAAGGGUGCGUAGGCGGUCUUUUAAGUUAGUGGGUAAAGUUUUUGGCUUAACCAUGGAAUUGCCGUUAAACCUGGGGGGCUUGAGUUUGUACGAGGUAGGCGGAAUGAGUGAAGUAGCGGUGAAAUGCUUAGAUAUCACGCAGAACCCCGAUAGCGAAGGCAGCUUGCCAGGCCGUGACUGACGCUGAAGCACGAGAGCGUGGGGAGCGAACAGGAUUAGAUAUCCGAGUAGUC